GGCUCAAUGGUCUAGUAGUAUGAUUCUCCCUUCGGGUUGCGAAACCGUGGACAAUAGUCCAAUAACUGGGAGAGGUCUCGGGUUCAAUUCCCGAUUGAGCCC